AGAAUUGGUACUAAAAGAAGUAUUGAAUUCGUAUAUGGUGUAAUUACAAAUACAUAAACGAAAAACUGACUGGCUGACUAUAUUAUAGUUUUAAUACGAUAUCUUAUCAGUGAUAAUGUAUAUAAGUAUUUAGUGUUCGAUAGCAUUGUAAAGACAACGGAUCAAUAUGAGUGGUGUACAUUUUGAAGGCGAUAAUGGCGUGCAAAUAGCUGACAAUGAUUAUGGUGGAGGAGUUAACGUUGUAGAUAAUGAUUAUGGUGGAGGAGUUGACGUUGUCGACAACGAUUAUGGUGGAGGAGUAAACGUUGUCGACAAGGAUUAUGGAGGAGGAGUUAGUGUUGUAGAUAAUGAUUAUGGAGGGGGAGUUAAUGUCGUAGACAAUGAUUAUGGAGGGGGGGUUAGUGUUGUAGACAAUGAUUAUGGUGGCGGGGUUAGUGUUGUAGAUAAUGAUUAUGGUGGGGGAGUCAACGUUGUCGACAACGACUAUGGUGGGGGAGUUAAUGUUGUAGAUAAUGAUUAUGGUGGUCAAUUUACAGGUCAACGAUAAGAACAAUAAAGUUUUUGAGUGAUAUUUUAAAAUAAAUAAUUUCACUUUA